UAAAUUGAUGCGGCCGGGACUUCCUUCGGUGACGGCUCCUGCUUGUCUAUUUUAUUCACGCCUUUCUUUUGCUUCCUUCUUGUUUCCUGGGCGGGUUCGCCCGCCACAAGGACCAACCACAAACCUUUUUGUAAUUGCAACCUCCGUCAGUAAGCAAUGUAAUUAUUACUACUUUCCGGACCGAUCGCUUGGGGCUGGCAUCAAUAAAGAACCCAACGAAAUGCGAUACGGAGAGUUGAUUAAUUAAUUCAAUGAAUCAUCCAAUCAUUGAACGUUGCUCGCUCCCUUAUUCCUUCCAGCGGGCCUGCCUGAUCGAGCGUCAUUUCCACCCUCUAUCUUUGCUUGGGGUUGGGCUUCUUGUCCCCCUCGCGGGACACUCACCUUUCAUUGGCUGCCAACCGGCCGGUUACUUAGCGAACCAAAUAUCUUGCACUCUCACUCCCCCCUGGUCGAGCAUCCAUCCAGACCCCCUUUUUUUUAAUUUUUCGACCUCAGAUCAGGUAAGGAUUCCCAGCUGAAUUAAGCAUAUCAACGAGGGGAAGGAAACAAUAGGACUACCCGCUGAACUUAAGCAUAUCAAUAAGCGGUAGGUCAACUCGACUUAACUCAAAACAAAUAAGCAGAG
rnacentral:rRNA from 1 species